rnacentral:rRNA from 1 species
CGGGUGAGUAACACGUGGAUAACCUACCUAUAAGACUGGGAUAACUUCGGGAAACCGGAGCUAAUACCGGAUAAUAUUUUGAACCGCAUGGUUCAAAAGUGAAAGACGGUCUUGCUGUCGCUUAUAGAUGGAUCCGCGCUGCAUUAGCUAGUUGGUAAGGUAACGGCUUACCAAGGCAACGAUGCAUAGCCGACCUGAGAGGGUGAUCGGCUACACUGGAACUGAGACACGGUCCAG